ACGUUCGGGUAAUUGCUGCAGUUUCUUAACUGUAGAGGAAAGUCCAUGCUCGCACAGACUGAGAUGUUUGUAGUGUUCGUGCCUGGUGAAAAAAUAAGCCACGGCAGCAGGAUACAUCCUGCUGACGGCCGGGAAAAUGCCUAAGUCCUUUAAGGAUAUGGCAUGAAUACCUAUAAAAGUGCCACAGUGACGUAGCCUUUUCAGAAAUGAAAAGGGUGGAACGCGGUAAACCCCACGAGCGAGAAACCCAAAUUAAUGGUAGGGGCGCUUUCUUCCUUGGAAAUGAACAAGGAGAAGGACAGAGGCUACUGCCUCUGUAGAUAGAUGAUUACCACCUAAGUACGAGAUGAAUAAUCGCUUGCAGUACUACGGUACAAAACAUGGCUUACAGGA
rnacentral:RNase_P_RNA from 2 species